AAUUUAACUGGUUCAUCAAAAGGGUAGGUAAUAAUACCAUCAUAUUCAGUUUUGAAAGGGUAAAUUAAAGUUAUGAAAGGUAGUCCUAAAAUUACUUUAUCAGUUAGAUUUUUUACCAAGACAAACGAAGUUUUGAAACAAACAUUGUUUUGGCAGAUAUGGGCCUUAGGGAUUUCGUAUUUAAUAUCCAUUUUUGUUCCAUUAGCUGAUCGUAAAGAUUCUUUCGUUUUUUCAAAAUAUUUGGAAGGUAUUAAGCCUUCUUGGAUGCAAUUAAGGUCUGCACCAGAGUCAAUAAGGGCUGUUAUUGUUAUUUGGAAAUCUUUUAUUUUGAGUUGGACAGUAGUGUACC
rnacentral:lncRNA from 1 species